CCGGGUGGGUAGUAGGAGACCGGGACCUGCAGACCCUCUUGGGUUCCGGUGACCGUGCACAUGCUGAAAACCACACGGAAGCUUUCCUGGGGAGGGCUGCUUGAGAGGCACAACCCCACUGUGAUGGGAACAGGGGUGAGGAGGGCCCCACCCUGGACAGAAGGGAGUGACCGGAUGCAAAUAAGGAUGGUUCUAGAUUCUUGUCCAAGGCGGGAAUCCGGGUGGGAGAAGCCAUGGGGCACAGACUUUCCCGAGGUUUGCAGAUCCAGGUAGCCGUUCUUUCAGGGUCCGCCUCCAGGGGCACAGGUGGUCUUUUUAGCCAUAAGCAGUACCUGCUCUGAGGAGCUACAUGGCAAAUUCCACUGCGGUAAGACCUGCUUAUUUUAUCUCCCCAGCCUGACUCGUUCAUCAGGCUGGGUGCUCUGAGGUCCAGAAGGCAAGCUCUUCCGGGCUCCCGUCCUCGUGGAGCUCUUCCAUCUGGUGGGGAAGCCGGCAGGUGAACAAAGGAACAGAGUGUCACCCUGCGAUACUUCAUCAUAUCAGCUCAUAGAACGCAGUCCUUUGGGGAAACUGAGGCUCGAAGUGAGGCUGUGCCCUGCUCAAGGUUAUGCAGAGUAGGGGGCAGAGCCGGGUCCAAGCAACAAGAGGAAAAAGCCCAGCCUCUCACCCACGAUGGUCCUGGCUGAGUAGCCGCAUGCAGCCUCUCUCCUCUGCAGGCCAGCAAGCCCCCAGCAAAAGGAAAGGGGAUAACUCAGGGGCAGCUAAACUUGAGGUGGGAUGGCCUUAAUUUUCUCGGCCUCCACACAGAGCAGCUGAAUGGGCUUGCCGAGGAGCGACGACCACUACGGCCCAUGCCAUCCGCGUGAAGACCAGAACAACCACCUCUCGUGAAACCUAAACCCUGUGAUAUUCAAGCAUUCAAAGUGAGCAGGUUUCUGUGUCUGCAGGCGGAGCCCAGGAAAGGGCUCCCCAAAUGCCUUCAGAGAGCAAAGCGAUGAUACUUGACUUGAGAGGAACACUGGAAAAAAGAGACCAGUUCCAUCCUGAUGGAAACCCGCCCCUGGGAGCACGAUCCAGGCGUGAAAGUCGAACGUACGCUGGGUGUGCACAGAGCACUCACGCGCAAAAGUAAAGAUGUGUAAACAGGGUACUUUCAGGUGCGGGCGGGUGCUCAGAGGAGGCACCGAAGGAAAGGCUCCCGGCUCUCAUCUCUGGGUGGCCCAAGGAUGGGCAGCCCCUUCUCUUUCCCCAUACGUCUUCCUGCCCCAUAUUUUUAGAUUAAAAAAGUGUCUGUAACGACGUCUAUGUCGGCUUUAUGACCGGGAAACAGAGAUGUUAAGCAGCACGAGGACCUGAGAGAUGUCCUAGAUUUCAGGGUGACUUGACAUUUACCCUCUCUGUCUUUACCCGCCCAGGGGGCUUGGAGGACAGCCCCUCCCACAGCCCAGCCCAGUGUUUCUUGGGGUUUCCCACAGCCCUAUGGCCACAGCAAUGAGACCAGUCCCAUCACUUCCUCUAAUGCUCAGCCCGAAUCUGGAGGAUUCUCUUGGGUCGGGGGGCGGUUAGGAACCUACUCAGAUAUCAUAGA